rnacentral:rRNA from 1 species
AUUGAACGCUGGCGGCAUGCUUUACACAUGCAAGUCGAACGGCAGCGGGGGCUUCGGCCUGCCGGCGAGUGGCGAACGGGUGAGUAAUGCAUCGGAACGUGCCCAUGUCGUGGGGGAUAACGUAGCGAAAGCUACGCUAAUACCGCAUACGUCCUGAGGGAGAAAGCGGGGGAUCUUUGGACCUCGCGCGAUUGGAGCGGCCGAUGUCGGAUUAGCUAGUAGGUGAGGUAAAGGCUCACCUAGGCGACGAUCCGUAGCGGGUCUGAGAGGAUGAUCCGCCACACUGGGACUGAGACACGGCCCAGACUCCUACGGGAGGCAGCAGUGGGGAAUUUUGGGACAAUGGGGGCAACCCUGAUCCAGCCAUGCCGCGUGAGUGAAGAAGGCCUCGGUGUAAG